rnacentral:lncRNA from 1 species
GCCCCGAGAAAUAUUGUCUGCCUCAAUAUUAAAAAAUUAAGAGAAUUAUUAAAUACAUCCCCGACAUUCAUCCUUUUUUUUCUUUUAAUAAAAAAUAUAUAAAAUUAUCAAAAUUUCGUCUGAUACGGAAAAAAGGAAAAAAAUUACCGGGCGUUGAUGGCGGCCAUGUCCGAUUCCACCGUUCUUCACAGAUCGCAUGAAAAAAAAAAGACAAAUUACAACAGAAAUUUGAAGCCCAAGGCCUGCAAAAUUGCAGAUCUAGAAACGCGGAUCUCAACUUUGGUACAAUCAGAAGGUACAAAUCAACCAAAAGAGAAUAACAGAAAAAGAAAACGAAGGAAAAUUUUUUUCACGGCCAGCAUCACCAUUUCCUUGAUGGAUCAAAUUUUGGAAGAAAUUCAACUGUGAACAAGGAAACCCUCAGAUCUCCGGGGGAAGCACUCUCGCCUCCAACUCCCGAGAAGAGGCUCCAACUUGUGAAAAUGACGGCUCC